rnacentral:rRNA from 1 species
GAUGAACGCUGACAGAAUGCUUAACACAUGCAAGUCGAUGGGGAAGUGGUGCUUGCACCAUGGUAACCAUGGCGGACGGGUGAGUAACGCGUAAGGAACUUACCUGCGGGACCGGGAUAACAGCAGGAAACUGCUGACAAGACCGGAUAAGGUCAUUAAGCUGCAUAGCUUAGUGAUGAAAGGAGACGCCUGCGGAGAGCCUUGCGUCCUAUUAGCUAGUUGGAGGGGUAACGGCCCACCAAGGCGAAGAUAGGUAGCCGGCCUGAGAGGUUGGACGGCCACAAGGGGACUGAGAUACGGCCCUUACGCCUACGGGAGGCAGCAGUGGGGAAUAUUGGACAAUGGGGGCAACCCUGAUCCAGCAAUUCUGUGUGCACGAAGACGGUUUUCGGAUUGUAAAGUGCUUUCAGCAGGGAAGAAGGAAGUGACGGUACCUGCAGAAGAAGCGACGGCUAAAUACGUG